UACGAAUGGGGCAAGCGUUGUUCGGAAUCACUGGGCUUAAAGCGUAUGCAGGCGGCCAAGCAAGUCAGAAGUGAAAUCCCUGGGCUCAACCCAGGAAUUGCUUUUGAAACUGCUCGGCUAGAAUCCCGGAGAGGUUGGCGGAAUUCCGAGUGUAGAGGUGAAAUUCGCAGAUAUUCGGAGGAACACCAGUGGCGCAAGCGGCCAACUGGACGGGCAUUGACGCUCAGAUACGAAAGCGUGGGUAGCAAACAGG
rnacentral:rRNA from 1 species